rnacentral:ncRNA from 1 species
UCGUUCUCAUUGGGGUGUCCGACCUAAACCGGACUGAGACUGCAACCGCAGAACCCACUGAACCUGAACCAGAUCAUGCUGGCGUAGGAAUUGAGAUAAUACCGACC